rnacentral:rRNA from 1 species
AUCGAACGCUGGCGGCAGGCCUAAUACAUGCAAGUCGAGCGAGCGGCGGACGGGUGAGUAAUGUCUGGGCAACUGCCUGAUGGAGGGGUAUAACUACUGGAAACGGUAGCUAAUACCGCAUACCAUCCGAUGUGGCCAGAUGGGAUUAGCUAGUGGGUGGGGUAAUGGCUCACCAAGGGGACGAUCCCUAGCUGGUCUGAGAGGAUGACCGGCCACACUGGGACUGAGACACGGCCCAGACUCCUACGGGAGGCAGCAGUGGGGAAUAUUCCGCAAUGGGCGCAAGCCUGAUGGAGCCAUGCCGCGUGUGUGAAGAAGGCCUUCGGAUUGUAAAGCACUUUCAGCGAGGAGGCGGUACUCACACAAAAAGCACCGGCUAACUCCGUGCCAGCCGCCGCGGUAAUUC